UACGUAGGGUGCGAGCGUUAAUCGGAAUUACUGGGCGUAAAGCGUGCGCAGGCGGUUUUGUAAGCCAGAUGUGAAAUCCCCGGGCUUAACCUGGGAAUGGCAUUUGGGACUGCAAGGCUUGAGUGCGGCAGAGGAGACUGGAAUUCCUGGUGUAGCAGUGAAAUGCGUAGAUAUCAGGAGGAACACCGAUGGCGAAGGCAGGUCUCUGGGCUGACACUGACGCUGAGGAGCGAAAGCGUGGGGAGCGAACGGG
rnacentral:rRNA from 1 species